rnacentral:rRNA from 1 species
AAGCAUAUCAAUAAGCGGAGGAAAAGAAACCAACAGGGAUUACCUCAGUAACGGCGAGUGAAGCGGUAACAGCUCAAAUUUGAAAUCUGGGUCUUUCAGGCUCCGAGUUGUAAUUUGUAGAAGAUGCUUUGGGUGCGGUCCCGGUCUAAGUUCCUUGGAACAGGACGUCAUAGAGGGUGAGAAUCCCGUAUGUGAUCGGUGGCUUGCGCCCGUGUAAAGCUCUUUCGACGAGUCGGGUUGUUUGGGAAUGCAGCUCUAAAUGGGUGGUAAAUUUCAUCUAAAGCUAAAUAUUGGCCAGAGACCGAUAGCGCACAAGUAGAGUGAUCGAAAGAUGAAAAGCACUUUGGAAAGAGAGUUAAACAGUACGUGAAAUUGUUGAAAGGGAAGCGCUUGCAACCAGACUUGCGCGGGGUUGAUCAUCCGGGGUUCUCCCCGGUGCACUCGGCCUCGCUCAGGCCAGCAUCGGUUUCGGUGGUUGGAUAAAGGCCUUGGGAAUGUGACUUCUUUCGGGGAGUGUUAUAGCCCUCGGUGCAAUGCAGCCUACCGGGACCGAGGACCGCGCUUCGGCUAGGAUGCUGGCGUAAUGGUUGUAAGCGAC